UUGCAAUUUCAACAUCAUAUCAUUGAACUUGCAUUAUAUAUUGAUUUUACAAAGUUAAUCCACAUAAAUUUGUUAGUGUUUAUAUUCAAACAACACACGUGACGGACGUGACUAAACCUCAUUGGUUCUUGGGAUUCAGUACGUCACAUUGGCUUCCUGAUGAUUCUGUUGUUCGAUACACAACGUGCGUGAUCGUUGGUAAAUGUGGAUUAAAAGUUGAAACUAAAACUGUUAAAUUAUAUAUAGUGAUCAUCAAAGGACUUGGCUGAAACAACGCGAUUCACAUGGAUUACUUCGGCGAUGUUUUUUAUUGUUGUUGCGAUUAACUUUUUGAAAUGUGAGCAGUUUUUAAGUAUCAAGUGGAUCUGACAUCGAGGGGAAAUAUACGUUUCUUGGAUUUCAUUAAAGUACAUCGGUUUUUGUUUAAAGAUGAAUGAGAGAACAUGAGGGUAAGUUCAGUGAUGACAGAUUUUUGCUUUUUAUUUUUAGUGAACUAUUAAAUAAGUAGAACAUUUAGUAUAACAGUAUGUCUUAAUUUUAACCCAGCUUCUUCAAGCGUGUAUGUUGUGUGGCUUUUGGAACAUAACGUUACAUUUUUUGUGAGUAAAGUUAGGCAUUUAAUUUCUCUUGUUGUAUUUCAGAAAUCAUAACAGCCUGUCUUUUUUAGCACAGCGGCAUUCAAAUUGACCAAUCAGAGCCGAGAAUAUCUAAUAAGUCGAAGUAGAGAUGAACAGAUGAAGAUACAGCCUGUAAAAAUACUUAUUCUUGGUGAGUGCCAUGUAGCGACGGAUCAAACGGACACUCAUGUCAAGCUUGAUGAGGACACAGUCAAAGCUUUAAAAGACCUUGUGAUUAAGUCUUCAGUGUCUGAAUGGCAAGAAGAAGUGACCCUCCACUUAAACGUGACAUUUAAACUGCUCUGUGUUUUGGUUCAGCCAUUUGUAGGUUUAUCUCGAGUAAGUUCAAAUGUACUUCUGCAUUUGUCCAGUAACUUUUUGUUUAGAGAAUUACAUCAUUAUGAUUAUAUAAUUAUUCAA